rnacentral:lncRNA from 1 species
CACCUUAUCUUAUUAAUGGGUGUUGUCCUUAAAUUAAUUUGAGAUGAAUAUGCACAAUCAAUUUCAAACAAGAGGUUUUAUUCAUUUAAAUUAGAUGCAUGAAAUUAAUUAAACUUGAAAGUUUAUCUUGUCUCCGAAGGUUAUCAAAAAUAAAUUUAAGACGAUGAAUACUCUAAAUAAUUAAGUUUCUAUUUUUAUCAUGCCGUUUUUAUAAGGUU